rnacentral:rRNA from 1 species
AGCUUGCUUGUUAGAUAUAAAUAGCAAGUAACCCCUGCCCUAUGUCUYGAAUGAUAAAUGGCUGCAGUAUCCUGACUGUACGAAGGUAGCAUAAUCACUUGGCUCCUAAUUAGGGUCUGGAAUGAAGGGGGCCACGGGGCCUAACUGUCUCAAAAGGGAGUCUUGAAUUUAACUUUAUGGGUGAAGAGGCCCAUAUAAACUCGAAAGACGAGAAGACCCCAAAGAGCUUGUGGUUAAAAAGCUGCAGCAAGAAGUGCGGCAUUACCAUUUUGUUGGGGCGACACAGGGUCAUAAAAAGCACCCUUGAUGAACAAGAGUAUACAGGAUCCCCCCUAGAGGAAUAUAUGAAUAAAGUUACCUUGGGGAUAACAGCUUUUAUACCCCUCGAGGCCUUAUUGGGGGGGGUAAAAAGACCUCGAUGUUGGACUGGGGUGCACUAUCGGGGGCAGCCCCUUGCGCUUAGAAGGUCUGUUCRACCUUUAAAACCCCACAU